UUAUAUGGUCAAGAAGAGAAGCGCAAACGGUGGAUGCCUUGGCAGUAAGAGGCGAAGAAGGACGUGGAAUCCUGCGAAAAGCUAUGGGGAGCUGGAAACGAGCGUUGAGCCAUAGAUGUCCGAAUGGGGGAACCCGGCUGCAGCGAUGCGGUCAUUUGCAUUUGAAUACAUAGGAUGCAAAGGCGAACUCGGGGAACUGAAACAUCUAAGUACCCGAAGGAAAAGAAAUCAAGAGAGAUUCUCCAAGUAGCGGCGAGCGAACGGGGAGGAGCCUGGCGUGAUUUAUUAUUGAACUGAGUAGAACAAUUUGGGAAAGUUGGCCGUAGAGGGUGAAAGCCCCGUAUACGAAGGUUUGAUGAGGAACUAGGCACGCGAACAAGUAGGCCGGGACACGUGAAAUCCUGGUUGAAGAUGGGUGGACCAUCAUCCAAGGCUAAAUACUACUUACUGACCGAUAGUGAACCAGUACCGUGAGGGAAAGGUGAAAAGAACCCCGGAGAGGGGAGUGAAAUAGAAUCUGAAACCGUUUGCGUACAAGCAGUGGGAGCAUAGUUUAGGCUGUGUGACUGCGUACCUUUUGUAUAAUGGGUCAGCGAGUUACUUUCAGUGGCGAGGUUAACUGAAUAAGGGAGCCGUAGAGAAAUCGAGUCUGAAUAGGGCGAUAGUCGCUGGGAGUAGACCCGAAACCGGGCGAUCUAGCCAUGUGCAGGAUGAAGGUUGGGUAACACC
rnacentral:rRNA from 1 species